rnacentral:rRNA from 1 species
UAGGGAAUCUUCCGCAAUGGACGCAAGCCUGACGGAGCAACGCCGCGUGAGUGAAGAAGGAUUUCGGUUCGUAAAACUCUGUUGUUAGAGAAGAACAGCGCAUAGAGUAACUGAUAUGCGUGUGACGGUAUCUAACCAGAAAGCCACGGCUAACUACGUGCCAGCAGCCGCGGUAAUACGUAGGUGGCAAGCGUUGUCCGGUUUUAUUGGGCGUAAAGCGAGCGCAGGCGGUCAAUUAAGUCUGAUGUGAAAGCCCCCGGCUCAACCGGGAAGGGUCAUUGGAAACUGGUUGACUUGAGUGCAGAAGAGGAGAGUGGAAUUCCAUGUGGAGCGGUGAAAUGCGUAGAUAUAUGGAGGAACACCAGUGGCGAAAGCGACUCUCUGGUCUGUAACUGACGCUGAGGCUCGAAAGCGUGGGUAGCAAACAGG